UUAUUCGCAUCUCUUCGAAGCCGUAUUGGUAGAUUCUACGAAGCAAAUCGUCUUUUAUCCCCAUCUCUUCGAAGCUUCCAAUGGCGAUUCGCCGGGACUACGGAUGUUGUUGCCAUCGCCGCCGCCGAUUUGGGCUCGAAGAUAGAAGUGAAAGGUUGGGUUUCGAUUUUAGAGAGAGAGAAGGUUCUUCAUUGUGUGUGAAAUGAAAAAAGAGUAAAUAAUUUAUGUUUUUUUUUAAUAUUAAAUAAUUUUUUUAAAUCAGGCUAACUGAUUUAAUUUGUUAUUCACUUAAGAACCUGCCUUCCGUGUCCUGUUUUUGAGGUAAUUAAAUCAGGUGGAUGACAUCUGAUUUAGAAUGUAUGAUUUAGUAAGUGUUUUU
rnacentral:lncRNA from 1 species